rnacentral:rRNA from 1 species
CCUACGGGGGGCAGCAGUGGGGAAUAUUGGACAAUGGGGGGAACCCUGAUCCAGCCAUGCCGCGUGUGUGAAGAAGGCCCUCGGGUUGUAAAGCACUUUCAGUGAGGAAGAACGCCUGGUGGUUAAUACCCAUCAGGAAAGACAUCACUCACAGAAGAAGCACCGGCUAACUCCGUGCCAGCAGCCGCGGUAAUACGGAGUGUGCGAGCGUUAAUCGGAAUUACUGGGCGUAAAGCGCGCGUAGGUGGCUUGAUAAGCCGGUUGUGAAAGCCCCGGGCUCAACCUGGGAACGGCAUCCGGAACUGUCAAGCUAGAGUGCAGGAGAGGAAGGUAGAAUUCCCGGUGUAGCGGUGAAAUGCGUAGAGAUCGGGAGGAAUACCAGUGGCGAAGGCGGCCUUCUGGACUGACACUGACACUGAGGUGCGAAAGCGUGGGUAGCAAACAGGAUUAGAUACCCGAGUAGUC